UCAGGUCUGUUGGGGGCCAUUGAAGGAGCGUUCACGUCGCGGUCCCUGUCAGGUGUUUUUGCACCUGCGAAUCCUUCA
rnacentral:ribozyme from 1 species